rnacentral:tRNA from 1 species
AGGGAUAUAGUAUAGUGGUAGUACAUGGGUCUCCAAAACCUCUGGUGUAGGUCCGAUUCCUACUAUCCCUGCCA